UACGGAGGGUGCGAGCGUUGUCCGGAAUCACUGGGCGUAAAGGGCGCGUAGGCGGCUCUUUAAGUCGGGGGUGAAAUCCUGGAGCUCAACUCCAGAACUGCCUUCGAUACUGUAGAGCUUGAGUUCGGGAGAGGUGAGUGGAACUGCGAGUGUAGAGGUGAAAUUCGUAGAUAUUCGGCGGAACACCAGUGGCGAAGGCGACUCACUGGCCCGAUACUGACGCUGAGGCGCGAAAGCGUGGGGAGCAAACAGG
rnacentral:rRNA from 1 species